GCUGGCAUAGCUCAGUUGGUAGAGCAGCUGAUUUGUAAUCAGCAGGUCGCCGGUUCGAGUCCGGCCGCCAGCUCCA
rnacentral:tRNA from 1 species